UUCCCUUCCCUUCGACCCCUCCCUUCUUUCCCGUAUUCCUACCCUUCAUUCCAUCCUUUCGUCCCUUCCCUUCGUUCCUUUAUUCCAUCCCUUCAUCCCAUCCUUCUUUUCGUUUACCGUUCAACUAUUCAUCCAAAGAAAACAUUAAGCUACAAAAUAACACACACACACACACACACACACAAGCACAUAUUAUUCUCUCCAGGCUACAGCUCACGUAUGCUUCGCUGCUUCACUCAAGGUCACCGGAGCUUCGCGAGACAACAAGAGAGAGUGUCGCAAGUCGAGCAAACAAAGGCUGGCUGCUCCUUGUCCCUCGUCAGCGCUGCCUCGCCUGCGUCACGCUCUCUAUCAGGGGACACCACGCUGCUCCCUGUCACCUGGAACAAUGGGGCGAUAAGCAAGGUUGGAUGCAUUGUCUGGGAUCUGGAAUCGACUCUCGCGCGUAGUUGAAGCAGUAAAUGGAACUCCUAUGCAACAUUGUCAGAUUGUCGUACUCAGCCGCUUAUAUUUCCCGACUUCCUCCCCAAAAACCGUCUUCUGGGCUGCAAUAACGAAGCACAUUUAUAGUUAUCGUUACAAGAGUUAGAUCCUGAUGUUUCUUGGCAAUAGUUAGGCGUCAAAAACCGGUAAAUACUAUGCUCUGAGUACGACAAUCUGGCAACGGUGCUCCUUUGACCGUGGAAAUUUCGUCUUCUCGAUAUUCUGGCAUACAGGACUUAUUUAUCUGGUGUAUUUCUUAUUUCAUUAAUUUUAUUUGCAUUUAUUUGUUGAUAUAUACAGUUUUGCUCUUUUUCCGUGUCUGUUUUAGCCUUAUUUCCAUGGUGAGGCAGAGAACUUGGCACUGUGCAUGGGUUCUGAGACCAUCAUGGCGUAGGCUGAGGUGGACAGAAGAGGGAGAAGAAAGGGCACACGUUUAUCCAUUUAUAUCCACACGCAACCUCUCCAUCACUGUCCUUACGUGGCUCUGGAGGACACGAGGAACCAUGAAGCACAUCGGAGAAGGGGAAUAUCGCAGCAGAGGACGCCACAGCAACGUAAAUUAAGCAGAAUAUGUCGCUGGGUGUUGCUGGGCUGCCAUGGACAUCUCUGGGCGCUGAGGACAAAGCAUCGCGGUUCCCGUGGAUGAAAGAGUACUUGACGGCCCACCUCUGGCCUCAAGGUGAUGUAAGGAGGAACACCUUGACUGUGCUCCUCGUUACAGGUUGAGUCCCUGAAAAGGUGUGCAUUCAUUUGCUUUGUCUUUAAAAAAAUUCCACAGUACUUAUAGACAGACAUUGUUCAUAGACUUUUAAUUACUUCUUAAAUUAUUGUUUUUUGAAUAGGGAUCAUCUUUCAAUGUCCACAUCAUUUCAUGGCCUUUGUAUGUCUAAAAUGCACAAGAUUUCCCUGGUAGAAUAUAGUUUUGAGGUUGACGAGACCGCAUGUAGGAGGGUAAACACGUCCCGCUGCUGCGCUGGGCGGGUCACUGGCUCGAGGGGCAGCUCUUUUCUCUCGGUUGUCCCUGUUUGAAUCAGAUCUUUUCUUUCAGUUGCCCCUAUUAAGAGUUGCCUCGGCAUACAACCCGGUUUGAAUCAGAUCUUUUCUUUCAGUUGCCCCUUAUAAGAGUUGCCUCGGCAUACCAUUCCUCCUUUGGAUGCCUCAAUUGACCGUUUUCAAAUUUGGCAAGUGAAUGUGUUCUCAUCUGCAGCACAGGAAUGAAACUUCCUAUCACAGCAAGUUACACAGCAUUCAUGGACGGGCUCUUGCAGGGAAGGCCUUUCAAUGGAUGCUCAUGCCACACACUGCUACUAGGAACAGGUCAUGUCCAGGCUGACGGGAAGAAGCGACUCCUUACGUCCUGGUGCACUUCCCAUCCUCCCCCACCACCACCUUGCCGCGGGCCACCAGCUCCAUGGCUCUGAGGACACAAGAUAACAUUAACACGAAGCAGAAAACCAAGUGAGG